ACGAUGGGAUCGAACCUGUUGCGAGACGAACUUGGUUCGAGUUCGAGCAACGGGUCGAUCCAAGCCA
rfam:Drosophila persimilis strain MSH-3 cont1.015009, whole genome shotgun sequence.